CGUGUUCGAUAAGUCACAACGACUCUCGGCAACGGAUAUCUCGGCUCUCGCAUCGAUGAAGAACGUAGCGAAAUGCGAUACGUGGUGUGAAUUGCAGGAUCCCGUGAACCAUCGAGUUUUUGAACGCAAGUUGCGCCCGAAGCCACUAGGCCGA
rnacentral:rRNA from 1 species